rnacentral:rRNA from 1 species
GUAAGGAAUAUUGGACAAUGGACGCAAGUCUGAUCCAGCCAUGCCGCGUGAAGGAUUAGGGUCCUCUGGAUUGUAAACUUCUUUUAUAAGGGACGAAAAAAGGCUUUUCUAAGUCGUCUGACGGUACCUUAUGAAUAAGCACCGGCUAACUCCGUGCCAGCAGCCGCGGUAAUACGGAGGGUGCAAGCGUUAUCCGGAUUCACUGGGUUUAAAGGGUGCGUAGGCGGGCAGGUAAGUCAGUGGUGAAAUCCUAGAGCUUAACUCUAGAACUGCCAUUGAUACUAUCUGUCUUGAAUAUUGUGGAGGUAAGCGGAAUAUGUCAUGUAGCGGUGAAAUGCUUAGAUAUGACAUAGAACACCUAUUGCGAAGGCAGCUUACUACGCAUAUAUUGACGCUGAGGCACGAAGGCCAGGGGAGCGAAAGGGAUUAGAUACCCGAGUAGUCC